rfam:Camelus ferus unplaced genomic scaffold scaffold951, whole genome shotgun sequence.
GAAGGUAUAGCUCAAGUAGUACAGCACGUGCUUAGCACGCACAAGGUUCUGGGUUCAAUCCCCAGUACCUCCU